CACGUAGGCAGCAAGCGUUGUUCGGAGUUACUGGGCGUAAAGGGUGUGUAGGCGGUUCUUUAAGUUUGGUGUGAAAUCUCCCGGCUCAACCGGGAGGGUGCGCCGAAAACUGAAGGGCUAGAGUGCGGGAGAGGAGAGUGGAAUUCCUGGUGUAGCGGUGAAAUGCGUAGAUAUCAGGAGGAACACCGGUGGUGUAAACGGCUCUCUGGACCGUAACUGACGCUGAGACACGAAAGCGUGGGUAGCAAACAGG
rnacentral:rRNA from 1 species